rnacentral:rRNA from 1 species
GCCCCGGACCAAGGCGCCCGCCGGAGGACCAAGCAAAAAUCUUUUUGUAUACCCCCUCGCGGGUUUUUUUAUAAUCUGAGCCUUCUCGGCGCCUCUCGUAGGCGUUUCGAAAAUGAAUCAAAACUUUCAACAACGGAUCUCUUGGUUCUGGCAUCGAUGAAGAACGCAGCGAAAUGCGAUAAGUAAUGUGAAUUGCAGAAUUCAGUGAAUCAUCGAAUCUUUGAACGCACAUUGCGCCCGCCAGUAUUCUGGCGGGCAUGCCUGUCCGAGCGUCAUUUCAACCCUCGAACCCCUCCGGGGGGUCGGCGUUGGGGAUCGGCCCUGCCUCUUGGCGGUGGCCGUCUCCGAAAUACAGUGGCGGUCUCGCCGCAGCCUCUCCUGCGCAGUAGUUUGCACACUCGCAUCGGGAGCGCGGCGCGUCCACAGCCGUUAAACACCCAACUUCUGAAAUGUUGACCUCGGAUCAGGUAGGAAUACCCGCUGAACUUAAGCAUAUCAAUAAGCGGAGGA